rnacentral:rRNA from 1 species
CAGCAUACCAUACUGUCGAGCGGACGAAGGGACUUGCUCCCCGGCGUCGAGCGGCGGACGGGUGAGUAACGCUUAAGAAUCUACCUAAUAGUGGGGGAUAGCUUGGGGAAACUCGAAUUAAUACCGCAUACCUCCUACGGGAGAAAGGGGGCUCUUUACUGCUCUCGCUAUUAAAUGAGCCUAAGUCGGAUUAGCUGGUUGGUGAGGUAAAGGCCUACCAAGGCAACGAUCUGUAGCUGGUCUGAAAGGAUGAUCACCCACACCGGGACUGACACACGGCCCUCACUCCUACGGGAGGCAGCAGUGGGGAAUAUUGGACAAUGGGGGAAACCCUGAUCCAUCCAUGCCGCGUGUGUGAAGAAGGCCUUUUGAUUGUAAAGCUCUUUAAGCAGGGAAGAAGACCUGUCGGUUAAUACCCGGUAACAAUGACAUUACCUGCAAAAUAAGCACCGGCUAACUCUGUGCCAGCAGCCGCGGUAAUACAGAGGGUGCAAGCGUUAAUCGGAAUUACUGGGCGUAAAGCGCGCGUAGGUGGCUUGAUAAGUUGGAUGUGAAAUCCCCGGGCUUAACCUGGGAACUGCAUCUGAUACUGUUAGGCUAGAGUACGUGAGAGGGGAAGUAGAAUUCCGGGUGUAGCGGUGAAAUGCGUACAGAUCUGAAGGAAUACCGAUGGCGAAGGCUCCUUCCUGGCAUCAUACUGACACUGAGGCUCGAAAGCGUGGGUAGCAAACAGGAUUACAUACCCUGGUAGUCCACACCGUAAAACGAUGUCAACUAUUCGUUGGGUCCCUUGAGAAUUUAGUGACGCAGCUCACGCACUAAGUACACCGCCUGGGGAGUACCGCCCGCAAGGAUUACACACUGAGAUGAAUUGACGGGGGUCCCGCACGAGCAGUGGAGCAUGUGAUUUCAAUUCAAUGCAACAUAGAAGUAACCCUCACCUGUCUUGACAUGCACAGGAUCGUAGAAGAGAAUAGCGAGCGGGUGCCUUCUGGAACUAGAGAUACAAGUGCUGCAUGGCUUGACAUCAGCUCGCGAUCAUGAGAUGAUAGAGAGUAGCUACCAGCAACCGAGCGCAGCUCCUCACUACCUGCAGCAGGUAGCCUGUCACUCAACGGAUACGUACCAAUC